AUACGGAGGAUGCGAGCGUUGUCCGGAAUUACUGGGUGUAAAGGGUGCGUAGGCGGGACUGCAAGUCAGAUGUGAAAUGCCGGGGCUCAACCCCGGAGCUGCAUUUGAAACUGUGGUUCUUGAGUGAGGUAGAGGUAAGCGGAAUUCCUAGUGUAGCGGUGAAAUGCGUAGAUAUUAGGAGGAACAUCGGUGGCGAAGGCGUCUUGCUGGGCCUGUACGGACGCUGAGGCACGAAAGCGUGGGGAGCAAACAGGAUUAAAUACCCUGGUAGUCCACGCCGUAAACGAUGGGCGCUCGUCGUCGGCGACAGACAGUCGGCGGCCAAGCGAAAGCGAUAAGCGCCCCACCUGGGGAGUACGGUCGCAAGGCUGAAACUCAAAUGAAUUGACGGGG
rnacentral:rRNA from 1 species